UGUCUCUAGCCUGUCCUUUCCUUUCCUUUGUGUGGGUUGAGCUUUCUAGAACUCUUGUGAGGCGCGCCAAGUUUCUUUUAUGUGAAUUUUUGCUCUGUGGAUCUUUUGUUGAGUGCCGAUUUUCCUCUGUGUGGGUUCAGCUGUCUUGAUUUCUUGUGGGGCGUCAAGUUUAAUCUGUGUGGGUGAACUUUUUUGAUCUUUUGUGAGCCGCCAAGUUUCUGAACCAUAUAUUAUAACUGGUAGGAGACGCAUUCUUCUUGCUCUUCACGAUAUCACUAUGUUUACCAAAAAGCCUUCCAUCGCCCACCCCCCAAAAAAAAGAAGGAAAGGAAAAGAGAAAGCGGUAACAGUAAGGAAGAAGAAGAAAAGAAAGAGAUAAAGUUAAAUAAGAAAGAUAAUGGAGUUUAUGAACCGUACAGUAUGUUAGGACCAGCAGGAUACACGGAUUGUUCUUGUUCUUCACUGGUAUUACUAUGUUUACGAAGAGCCCUUUGUGCCAGAAGAAAAGAAGAAAUGGAGGAUGAGAAGCAGUGAGAAAUAACCAAGUAAAGUAAGAAAGACAAUACAGUUUCUGAACCGUAUGUUAGGACCAGCAGGAUACACGGAUCCUUCUUGUUCUUUACUGGUAUUACUAUGUUUACCAAAAGCCCUCCCUCGCAAAAGAAAAAGAAGGAAUGGCAGAAAACAGGCUGUAAUAAGAAUAAGAUAAGAAAGAUAAUACUGUUUCUGAAUCGUAUGUUAGGAUUCCCAGGACACACUGAUUCUUGAUAUUCCGGAUAAGUGUUUACCAAAAGUCCUUUAGUCUAGAAGAAAAAGAAGAAUGGGAAGAGAAAAGGUAGUAAGAAGAGGAAAAAGUAAGAGAAAGAUAUGCUCAACACGACCCCCUCACAAAUUAAUCGGAAGAAAAGGAAGAAGAAAAGAAAGAGAAUGGCAGUGACCAAAAGAUAAAGUAAAAAAAAAAAAAAAAUGUCACACUUGACCUCCAUCCAUAGCAGUCAGAAGAAAAGAAGAAAGAGGAGGAAAAAAGCAGUGGUAGGCAGAUAAAGCAGAAGAAAAAGAAUACAUAAAUCUUGACCCCUUUACGCAGGUUAUCGAAAUCUAUGAAAAGCAAAACAAGAAGAUAAAAUAAAAGAGAAAGAUAACUGACUCUCUCACAAAAGGGAAGUAAGAGCAAAGGCAGUGAUAAGAGAGUGAAGUAAAAGAGAAAGAAAGAAAAUAUUAAACUCCACCCUUCACUGACUGUUAAGGUCCCUCAAAACAAGACAAGAAGGCAAAGUAACAAAGAAAGAAAAUGGCAAACUUGACUCGCUCACGAAUUAGUCCGAAGCUAUUGAAGAAGAAAAGGAAAAAGCAAUGAAAGGAAGAGAAAGUUGAAAGAAAGAAUAUAUUAAUCUCGACCCCUUCACAAAUUUGUCCGAAGAAAAAGAAGAAAGGAAAGGGACUGAAAAUAAUAAGGCAGUGAAGCCAAGAAAAGAGGAAAAAGUUAAGAGUAAAGAAGGGAAACAUUACACUCGACCCCUUCACAAAUUAGUCAGUAGAAAAAGAAUAAAGGAAAGGGAAAGAAAAAAAUUAGGCAGCUAAGACAGGAGGAAAAAGUAAAGAGGAAAGAAGGAAAACAUUACACUCGAUCCCGUCAACAAACUAUUCAGAAGGAAAAGAAGAAGAAAAGGAAGAAAAACGAGCAGUGACGGAAUAAAAAAAAGGAUAAAGGAAGAAAAUAGAAUAAUAAACUUGACUCCCUCACGAAGGAAAACGAAGAGAAAAAGGCAAUGAAAAGAAGGGAAAGUUGAAAGAAGGAAUAUGUUAAAAUUGGCCCCUUCCCUUUCACAAAUUAUCGAGAUUCGUUAGAAGCAAAACAAGAGGAGAAAAUAGUAAAAAAAAAAGAAAAAUGUUAAACUCAGCCACCUCAAAUUCGGCACAAGAAACAGAUGAAGAAAAGAAAGAAGAAAAGACAGUGAUUAGAGAAGAAAGCAAAAUAAAUAAAAAAAAAGCCAAACUUGACCUUUUCCCCUUCUCCCCCUUCACAAAUUAUCGAGGCCCUUUAAAAGCAAAACAAGAAGAGAACGUGGUAUAUAAAAGAAAAAAAGUUGAAGUUGUCAGAAGGAAUAGAAGAAGAAGCGGAAAAAUAUGAGACAAUGAUGAAAGAGAAAGUAAAAUAAAGAGAUGCUAAACUUGACCCCCUCCUCUCAUUCCUCCUCCUCACAAAUCGUCGCUGUCCAUCCAUGCUUGCAGGUGGCUGGCUGGCGGCGCGGCGGCGAGGUGGAAGCGGCCUGGCGACUCCUUUAGCGGGGAAGGUGAACUGGCGGCGUGCUGGCUCCAGGGACGGCAGUGUUGCUUUGGCUCUCGGCAGAACUGGACCCACCUUCAUCGCUCUCCCGGACCGCAACCCACGCUCUCCCACGCCCACUCGCACAUCCGCCGCCCAUAUCUACAAGCCCGACGCCCGCCCACCAACUGAGGAAAACAACGCUAAGGCUCUGACACCCAGGCCCACAUCGCCUUUCCCGCUGCUUCGUCUGGACUCUAAGCUGAAAGGUAAGUUUGAAAGCGAGGACAAAGAGAAUCCAGUAAAAAGAUAAGUGUUUGUGUGUGUGUGUGUGUGUGUGUGUGUGUGUGUGUGUGUGUGUGUGUGUGUGUGUGUGUGUGUAUGUGUGUGUGUGUGUGUGUGUUUUA